CCUACGGGGGGCAGCAGUGAGGAAUAUUGGUCAAUGGGCGCAGGCCUGAACCAGCCAAGUCGCGUGAGGGAAGACUGCCCUAUGGGUUGUAAACCUCUUUUAUAAGGGAAGAAUAAUGACUACGUGUAGUCAGAUGCCCGUACCUUAUGAAUAAGCAUCGGCUAACUCCGUGCCAGCAGCCGCGGUAAUACGGAGGAUGCGAGCGUUAUCCGGAUUUAUUGGGUUUAAAGGGUGCGCAGGCGGGCCUUUAAGCCGGCGGUGAAAUCGCGGGGCUCAACCCCGCCGAGCCGUCGGAACUGGGGGGCUUGAGUGCGGCGGAGGCAUGCGGAAUGCGCGGUGUAGCGGUGAAAUGCAUAGAUAUCGCGCAGAACCCCGAUUGCGAAGGCAGCGUGCCGUGCCGCCACUGACGCUGAGGCACGAAAGCGCGGGGAUCGAACAGGAUUAGAUACCCGAGUAGUC
rnacentral:rRNA from 1 species